UGGGGAAUUUUGGACAAUGGGGGAAACCCUGAUCCAGCCAUCCCGCGUGUGCGAUGAAGGCCUUCGGGUUGUAAAGCACUUUUGGCAGGAAAGAAACGUCGCGGGUUAAUACCCCGCGAAACUGACGGUACCUGCAGAAUAAGCACCGGCUAACUACGUGCCAGCAGCCGCGGUAAUACGUAGGGUGCAAGCGUUAAUCGGAAUUACUGGGCGUAAAGCGUGCGCAGGCGGUUCGGAAAGAAAGAUGUGAAAUCCCAGAGCUUAACUUUGGAACUGCAUUUUUAACUACCGGGCUAGAGUGUGUCAGAGGGAGGUGGAAUUCCGCGUGUAGCAGUGAAAUGCGUAGAUAUGCGGAGGAACACCGAUGGCGAAGGCAGCCUCCUGGGAUAACACUGACGCUCAUGCACGAAAGCGUGGGGAGCAAACAGGAUUAGAUACCCUGGUAGUCCACGCCCUAAACGAUGUCAACUAGCUGUUGGGGCCUUCGGGCCUUGGUAGCGCAGCUAACGCGUGAAGUUGACCGCCUGGGGAGUACGGUCGCAAGAUUAAAACUUAAAUGAAUAUGAC
rnacentral:rRNA from 1 species